UAUAAUUUCUCUGGCAGGAGGCUGCUGGGAGAGAAACAUGUGUGGUAGCAGGCAACCCACUCGGGCAGACAGGACGAAAGGAGAAGAUUGCAUGCGUGCUGUUUUUUGAGCAACUUGAGACGAACAGAUCAAUCAACCACUGCUGCCUUACACGACACUACAUACUUGCACAGUCCUGCAAGCAAGCAAGCAAGAACGAAAGGAGGAAUGGAAGAAGAAACUCUGAAGAGGAAGCACGGUUGGACAAAGCUAGGAAGGAGCUGAGCAAUUCAGGCUUACAUGCUAGCUAAUGAAGCACCAUGGAUGACAUCUCAACGGUACACCAGCCUUUACACCACGGUUACAUACAAAGACAGAUAUACAUAUAUACAGAAACACGCCACAGAUUUCUCCCUUCCUUGUAGCACAUACAGUUGUUUGAGCUCCGGGGAAGCAAUGGUAGGCCAUUGGGCAACUCCGGGUUUCAUGUCAGUAAGGGAUGCACACUCCAAUGCAUGGCCAGUUGGCCACUGACAGUAGCACAAAUAGUUGUUCGGGCAUGAACAUACUCUGAAACGACUGGAUUUUUACUUAAAUGUACCAAAUGGCCUCUUGAUAAA